UACGUAGGGGGCAAGCGUUGUCCGGAAUUAUUGGGCGUAAAGAGCGCGUAGGCGGUCCGAUAAGUCGGCUGUGAAAGUCAAGGGCUCAACCCUUGGAAGCCGGCCGAUACUGUCGGACUAGAGUCCGGAAGAGGCGAGUGGAAUUCCCGGUGUAGCGGUGAAAUUCGUAGAUAUUGGGAAGAACACCGGUGGCGAAGGCGGCCAUCUGGACCGAUACUGACGCUGAGGCGCGAAAGCGUGGGGAGCAAACAGG
rnacentral:rRNA from 1 species